rnacentral:rRNA from 1 species
GACGAACGCUGGCGGCGUGCUUAACACAUGCAAGUCGAACGAUGAAGCCCAGCUUGCUGGGUGGAUUAGUGGCGAACGGGUGAGUAACACGUGGGCAACCUACCCCAAACUCUGGGAUAACUCCUCGAAAGAGGUGCUAAUACCGGAUACGAACUAGACAGACAUCUGUACUAGUUGGAAAGUUUUUCGGUUUGGGAUGGGCCCGCGGCCUAUCAGCUUGUUGGUGAGGUAACGGCUCACCAAGGCUACGACGGGUAACCGGCCUGAGAGGGCGACCGGUCACACUGGGACUGAGACACGGCCCAGACUCCUACGGGAGGCAGCAGUGGGGAAUAUUGCGCAUUGGGCGAAAGCCUGACGCAGCGACGCCGCGUGAGGGAUGAAGGUCUUCGGAUCGUGAACCUCUUUCAGUAGGGACGAAGCGAAAGUGACGGUACCUAAAGAAGAAGCACCGGCUAACUACGUGCCAGCCGCCGCGGUAA